rnacentral:rRNA from 1 species
UGCAUGUGUAAGUUUAAAGACCAAGUAGGAUGAAACUGCGGACGGCUCAUUAUAACAGUAAUAGUUUCUUUGGUUAGUCGGUACAAGGAUAACUUUGUGAAUGAUAAAGCUAAUACUUGAGACGAUCCGGGGAGUAUCAAUACUUUUCGGCCGUUGGCCGCAAGGCUGGCGAGAAACGACAUUCUCUUGUGAAAAAGGAUGCCGCGACAAUUGAGGAAAGCGACGCUUUUAACAAGUAUCCAAUGGGAAUUUCUGAUCUAUCAAUUUGUUGGUAGUAUCGAGGACUACCAAGAUUAUAACGGAUAACGAGGAAUUGCGGUUCGACAUCGGAGAGGGAGCUUUACAGAUGGCUACCACUUCUAAGGAAGGCAGCAGGCGCGUAAAUUACCCACUUUCGACUUGAAGAGGUAGUGACGACAAAUAACUCUUGGCGCCCUUCGGGGUGACUUGAAGGAAUGAUUUAGAAGUAAAUUCUCUAAAGAAAUCAAUUGGAGGGCAAGUCUGGUGCCAGCAGCCGCGGUAAUUCCAGCUCC